ensembl:lncRNA
AUGUGGCAGGGCAUCCAGACCAUCAGUGACUACAAGCCAAGCAACUCUACUCCAGCGGUCACAGACAUCUCCUUCCUUUACAAGCUAAAUGACAUUUAUGCUCGCUUCAACAGCGACAGCAAGGAGACAGCCACCAAGAUCACACUCUCAGCAAACCACCAACCCCACAAACUCACCUCCACAGAUGUCCACACUGCAUUGAACCAGAUCAAUGCAUGCAAGACUGCUUGCCUGGACGGCAUUCCUGGACGUGUGCUUAGGGCAUGUGCAGAGCAUCUUGCCGGCCAGAGCGGUUCCGUUUAAGGCACAGUGGGGAACGGAAAGCGCCAGUCUCUCCGAGGUCCUGGCACUCAUUUAGUCCGGUUCAGGCAGUGUCUGUAUUGCAGGGAAGAAUCGAGGAGACUGAAAGCGAACGGAAAUGUCCAGCCCUGCGAAGGCGCGCGCUAUAUUGCAUUCAUUUCUCUGGGGGGAAAUAAGUCCACCUAAAAUAGAUCCAAUGAGGAAUCCAGCGUUAGAAAGGAGCAUGUGCGCAGAAAGAUCAAUUGCAUUUCUAGUCACGUUAGAAACCGUCCUUUAAAACAAUUUCAAUUCCUUACCCACACACACACAAUCUGUUUAAGAACAAAAGCGAUCUGCUUCGCGAGCCUCUGAAGGGCGCGCUCGCCGGUCGCGAACUUUGCGGCGUUUGCGCGCAAACAAUGCCGCGGCGCGUUAUAGCUAUUCUCUCAGCCCGUGCUCCUUUUCCCCAAGCUACUCUUUCACAAUUACAAAACCCAUUCAUUUGCUUCGGCGUGCGUUUCUCAACUGCGGCAUUCCUUCAGAUCAGCCAGCAGCAGGGCUGAGGAAAAUAACCCAUAAACAGGGAUAACUAGAGAUAACUCGCUUAAUCAAUCAAAUGAGCAUGCGAAGAUCUACAUGAAAACCGGUAGUUUACCUGCCUCUACUGUGAAAUGUCGCUGCUCCGGAGGCGAAGACCGAUCGUGGUUGCAAAUUGUGGAGGAAAAGGAGCGGAAUCCAGCCAAUCGCUGCAGCUCGCAAUGACGUAUCGCCUUGGAUAAACCAAACGCUCCAGAGCCUCAUUCAGACAUACAGUAUGUUCAGAUGACUAUACGUGGUGUGUUACUCAAAUGUAUGGAGGUUAAACAAGGGGACGUGCCGUCAACAAACGUCCCCUGCCUGUUAUUUGAGCGCUUAUUCACCCGCGUUUAUCAUAACUUUACGCGUAAGGGAAUGCAAUGCGACAACUUUAUAUCAUUAGGAAUGAAGAUAAAGAGUUAACCAUCUCUCUUACAGUGAUGGGAUUUGUUUACGCGAUUAAUGAAUAAACUAGCCUAUUGCUUUAGUCUGCACAAUCUGUUCGUGGGUCGCGAAAUUGGUGCCACUAAAUAUCGCCUGUAUGGAGUCAUUUUAAACAAGACUUUUUUUAUGAUGUAUUGGCAAUGAAAAUAUAGAAUGAAGUGAUUAACACUGACAGUAGCUACCAGUCUGAAACGGAUUGCAUUGACACUGAAAGGUUGUUCAAGUGAAUGGGAUAGUGUCUAUUUGUUUGUUGCACGCGGUUUUACCAACAUUUGUGUUUACUGAAACGUUUGAGCACAAUACUGAGCUGUUGCUGUAGGCCUACUUUGUGUAACGCUGAAUGUGUUUAAUAGUGAAUGUGCUUGAUGUCAGUUCAUUGUCGCGGAUUUUCCCUGAGAAUAUCCUCUAAACACAUGAUGAACCACACAAAAACACAAGCAGCGCGUGACUGAACUGGACAGCAUUUCCAGCUGGGCUGCAGGCGCGCUGUCCGAGACUGACUUGAGAAUGCCUUUUAAAUUCCAAUUCAGUUACUGCAAACAGAAUGCAGAUUAUAACUUCUGUAUGCAGUUUUUAAAGAUAACUACUUUUGUGUUUCUAUUUUUGAAUAAAAGGCUAUUUGAUGGAAACUUGGCACAUAAAAGGUGAUUAGCUAUUAUUACUAUGCUUGUAUGUUUAUAACUCAAUAUUGUAUAUUAUCUGUCAUUAAAAAUGUUGAUAUCAACCCUUUUUUAUAUAAAGAUAUCUGAAAAUAAUGUGUUGCAUAUUGUGUGAUGCUGUAUGGUCAAAUGAAAGUCUGUUUUGCUGUGUUAAUUGUUCUGAUAGUAUUAAAUUCAGUUUAACAGAAAAAUAUUAAAUAUUUGAUGAGAAAAUUGUAUUUUACAUAUGAGGGACUGAAGAAUCAUAAUUGCUAUCUUUGAGUAGGACUAAAGAAAUUAAUUUCUUACGUGACUGUGUUGGAGUUGCUGUUCAGUAAAUGUUCUCCCUUCUUCCUUAUUUCCUUCA